AUUGAACGCUGGCGGCAGGCCUAACACAUGCAAGUCGAGCGGAUGACGGGAGCUUGCUCCUUGAUUCAGCGGCGGACGGGUGAGUAAUGCAUAGGAAUCUGCCUGGUAGUGGGGGACAACGUUUCGAAAGGAACGCUAAUACCGCAUACGUCCUACGGGAGAAAGCAGGGGACCUUCGGGCCUUGCGCUAUCAGAUGAGCCUAGGUCGGAUUAGCUAGUUGGUGGGGUAAUGGCUCACCAAGGCGACGAUCCGUAACUGGUCUGAGAGGAUGAUCAGUCACACUGGAACUGAGAAACGGUCCAGACUCCUACGGGAGGCAGCAGUGGGGAAUAUUGGACAAUGGGCGAAAGCCUGAUCCAGCCAUGCCGCGUGUGUGAAGAAGGUCUUCGGAUUGUAAAGCACUUUAAGUUGGGAGGAAGGGCAGUAAGUUAAUACCUUGCUGUUUUGACGUUACCGACAGAAUAAGCACCGGCUAACUCUGUGCCAGCCGCCGCCGUAAUAC
rnacentral:rRNA from 1 species